AUCCAACUGGAAGCUAGAGUGUCUUGGGUGUCAUUGAAAUCGCUACGACCGAAUCGCAGGUUGCACCGACUCGAAAGGCCGAAGAGAGAGAAGUCGAUGGCUUCUCGCGCAAAAAUCAAAGACAUACCAUCCUCUUCUCUCAUCGUAUACGCGUGAGCUGCAUUGACCGCUACUGAACUUUGAUGUGUUUCCUGCACAAAAUUCACCUCCGAAGUCAUAAAUUAGCUACUGGAGACCGAUGCGUUUCUCUUUGGCUGGCUCCCUCGAACCUGCAUCAAUACCACGAGCUACCACUUCAGCGGGCUCAAAAGCAUCAAAAGCAAACGCUGGACAAACCUCAUCGGUUUGCUGAUGGCGAGAAUUAUCGAAGUAUGUAAUAUAACGGAUAUUCAAUCUGGAU